rnacentral:lncRNA from 1 species
GGCCCACCCAGCCCUGGGCCUUUCUGGGCCUCAGUUUCCUCACCUGCGAAGGAAGGGCGGGGAGUCACCCCCGCCUCGGAUGCUAGUAUUUCAGGCACUAAACCGCAGCACGGUCUGCAAGGGAGGACGCCACAGGGAUGGGCGGAGGGGGCGGGGUGGCCGUGGGCAGGGGGCUGGCCGCAAAGAGCCCGUCUCUCCUCUCCUUGCCCAGCCCGGACCGUGGGCCUCCCUACUCCUCCCCCAAGCGCCUGCGCACACGCGCACCCGUCUCCGUCUCCGUCUCUUCCCCCCCCCCCCCCCGCCCCCAAACCCAGGGCCGAGAAGACCGGGAGUGAGCCCAGACGUGGAGGGUCUCCCACCUUCCUUCCAUCGCUCCUUCCCCGGGAUGGACUCGCAGCCCCGACGGAGCUCUCCCAGGGCUGUAAUAGUCCCAGCAUCCGUGCCCCUCCCUCUGGCAGCCAGGGAAAGAGGGGCCCGAGUCCCAUCCCACCUACACCCGCACCAGAUAUCCCGAUCCCCUUCUCCCCCUCCGUUCCGAGCUCCAGAGCUCCAGGAGCGAGCAGCAGUCCCACCGCCACCCCCCAGGGGUGCCUCUCCCCGGGACAGAGGAGGCACAGAACCCCGCAGGCAGGCAGGCAGGGGCGGCCACCCUCCUUCCCGCACUUACUGGUAAAGGCUUGGAAGCCAGAGGCUGUGGUAAACACUAGAGGCCCUUCCCGCGGCGGCGGCGGCCAGGAGCUGGCACCCCGUCCCGGAGGCGCAGGGAGCCCGACGUCCGGAGGCCGAGGUGCUGACGGAGGAGGAGAGCCUGGAAGGAGGAGGCGGAGGACAGGGGGAGGAGACAAAGGCUGUCUGCAAUGCGCAGGGCGGGGCUGCGCCAGGCGGGGCUGCCCCUUCCUCCACCCCGCUGACACGGCUAAGCUGACUCUCCCUCUGGAGCACACCCUUCUGCCAGGCGCAGUCUCACUGCCUCCCUCCCUCUCCCCCCCCCCCCCUUCCCUCUCUCUCUCUCCUUCCCUCCCUCUCUCCCUAUAUCUCUCCCUCCCUCUCUCACACUUACACACACUCUCUAACACUCACCAACACACUUUCACUCUCACACUCUUACACACACACUCAACACAAUCUGUGAGAGAAAAAUCCCCAGCCCCCUUGUAUGAGGAUGAGGUUUUUAGGUUAGCAGUAGUCUUGGGAUAA